rnacentral:rRNA from 1 species
UACGGAGGGUGCGAGCGUUGUCCGGAAUCACUGGGCGUAAAGGGCGCGUAGGCGGCCUUCUAAGUCGAACGUGAAAUCCCCGGGCUCAACCCGGGAACUGCGUCCGAUACUGGGAGGCUUGAAUCCGGGAGAGGGAUGUGGAAUUCCAGGUGUAGCGGUGAAAUGCGUAGAUAUCUGGAGGAACACCUGAGGCGAAGGCGGGCUACUGGGCCGAUACUGACGCUGAUGCGCGAAAGCCAGGGGAGCGAACGGG